rnacentral:rRNA from 1 species
AUGGCCUACGGGGGGCAGCAGUGAGGAAUAUUGGUCAAUGGGCGCAAGCCUGAACCAGCCAAGUCGCGUGAGGGAUGACGGUCCUAUGGAUUGUAAACCUCUUUUGUCGGGGAGCAAGGCCCGCCACGUGUGGCGGGAAGGAGAGUACCCGAAGAAAAAGCAUCGGCUAACUCCGUGCCAGCCUCCGCGGUAAUACGGAGGAUGCGAGCGUUAUCCGGAUUUAUUUGGUUUAAAGGGUGCGUAGGCGGGAGGUUAAGUCAGCGGUCAAAUGUCGGUGCUCAAAACCGGCCUGCCGUUUCAACUGG